rnacentral:tRNA from 1 species
AGCUCAGACGGUAAAGCGUCUGCCUGCAAUGCAGAAGUUCUGGGUUCAAUCCCUG